rnacentral:rRNA from 1 species
GAUGAACGCUGGCGGCGUGCCUAAUACAUGCAAGUCGAGCGAACGGACGAGAAGCUUGCUUUUCUGAUGUCAGCGGCGGACGGGUGAGUAACACGUGGAUAGCCUACCUAUAAGACUGGGAUAACUUCGGGAAACCGGAGCUAAUACCGGAUAAUAUUUUGAACCGCAUGGUUCAAAAGUGAAAGACGGUCUUGCUGUCACUUAUAGAUGGAUCCGCGCUGCAUUAGCUAGUUGGUAAGGUAACGGCUCACCAAGGCAACGAUGCAUAGCCGACCUGAGAGGGUGAUCGGCCACACUGGAACUGAGACACGGUCCAGACUCCUACGGGAGGCAGCAGUAGGGAAUCUUCCGCAAUGGGCGAAAGCCUGACGGAGCAACGCCGCGUGAGUGAUGAAGGUCUUCGGAUCGUAAAACUCUGUUAUUAGGGAAGAACAUAUGUGUAAGUAACUGUGCACAUCUUGACGGUACCUAAUCAGAAAGCCACGGCUAACUACGUG